UGGGGAAUAUUGCACAAUGGGCGAAAGCCUGAUGCAGCAACGCCGCGUGAGGGACGACGGCCUUCGGGUUGUAAACCUCUUUUAGCAAGGAAGAAGCUAAAGUGACGGUACUUGCAGAAAAAGCGCCGGCUAACUACGUGCCAGCAGCCGCGGUAAUACGUAGGGCGCAAGCGUUAUCCGGAAUUAUUGGGCGUAAAGAGCUCGUAGGCGGUUUGUCGCGUCUGCCGUGAAAACCCGAGGCUCAACCUCGGGCCUGCAGUGGGUACGGGCAGACUAGAGUGCGGUAGGGGAGAUUGGAACUCCUGGUGUAGCGGUGGAAUGCGCAGAUAUCAGGAAGAACACCGAUGGCGAAGGCAGAUCUCUGGGCCGUAACUGACGCUGAGGAGCGAAAGGGUGGGGAGCAAACAGGCUUAGAUGACCCUGGUAGUCCACCCCGUAAACGUUGGGAACUAGUUGUGGGUCCAUUCCACGGAUUCCGUGACGCAGCUAACGCAUUAAGUUCCCCGCCUGGGGAGUACGGCCGCAAGG
rnacentral:rRNA from 1 species